rnacentral:rRNA from 1 species
GGGGCUUGCGCCACAUUAGUUAGUUGGUAGGGUAAAAGCCUACCAAGACGAUGAUGUGUAGCUGGACUGAGAGGUUGAACAGCCACAUUGGGACUGAGACACGGCCCAAACUCCUACGGGAGGCAGCAGUAGGGAAUUUUCGGCAAUGGAGGAAACUCUGACCGAGCAACGCCGCGUGAACGAUGAAGUAUUUCGGUAUGUAAAGUUCUUUUAUUGAAGAAGAAAAAGUAGUGGAAAAACUAUAUUGACGUUAUUCAAUGAAUAAGCCCCGGCUAACUAUGUGCCAGCAGCCGCGGUAAGACAUAGGGGGCGAGCGUUAUCCGGAAUUAUUGGGCGUAAAGGGUGCGUAGGCUGUUAGAUAAGUCUAUAAUUUAAUUUCAGUGCUUAACGCUGUCUUGUUAUAGAAACUGUCUUGACUAGAGUGAGAUAGAGGCAAGCGGAAUUCCAUGUGUAGCGGUAAAAUGUGUAAAUAUAUGGAGGAACACCAGAAGCGUAGGCGGCUUGCUGGGUCUUUACUGACGCUGAGGCACGAAAGCGUGGGUAGCAAACAGGAUUAGAUACCCUGGUAGUCCACGCCGUAAACGAUGAGUACUAAGUGUCGGGGUAAAACUCGGUACUGAAGUUAACACAUUAAGUACUCCGCCUGAGUAGUACGUACGCAAGUAUGAAACUUAAAGGAAUUGACGGGACUCCGCACAAGCGGUGGAUCAUGUUGUUUAAUUCGAAGAUACACGAAAAAUCUUACCAGGUCUUGACAUACUCUGCAAAGCUAUAGAAAUAUAGUGGAGGUUAUCAGGGAUACAGGUGGUGCAUGGUUGUCGUCAGUUCGUGUCGUGAGAUGUUAGGUUAAGUCCUAAAACGAGCGCAACCCUUGUCGUUAAUUGCCAGCACGUAAUGGUGGGGACUUUAGCGAGACUGCCAAUUAAACAUUGGAGGAAGGUGAGGAUUACGUCAAAUCAUCAUGCCCCUUAUGAUCUGGGCUACAAACGUGAUACAAUGGCUGUGACAAAGAGUAGCUGAAACGCGAGUUUUUAGCCAAUCUCAAAAAAGCAGUCUCAGUUCGGAUUGAAGUCUGUAACUCGACUUCAUG